rnacentral:rRNA from 1 species
AGAGUUUGAUCCUGGCUCAGAUUGAACGCUGGCGGCAUGCCUUACACAUGCAAGUCGAACGGCAGCACGGAGCUUGCUCUGGUGGCGAGUGGCGAACGGGUGAGUAAUAUAUCGGAACGUACCCUGGAGUGGGGGAUAACGUAGCGAAAGUUACGCUAAUACCGCAUACGAUCUCAGGAUGAAAGCAGGGGACCGCAAGGCCUUGUGCUCCUGGAGCGGCCGAUAUCUGAUUAGCUAGUUGGUGGGGUAAAAGCCCACCAAGGCAUCGAUCAGUAGCUGGUCUGAGAGGACGACCAGCCACACUGGAACUGAGACACGGUCCAGACUCCUACGGGAGGCAGCAGUGGGGAAUUUUGGACAAUGGGGGCAACCCUGAUCCAGCAAUGCCGCGUGAGUGAAGAAGGCCUUCGGGUUGUAAAGCUCUUUUGUCAGGGAAGAAAAGGCUGUGGCUAAUAUCUACGGCUCAUGACGGUACCUGAAGAAUAAGCACCGGCUAACUACGUGCCAGCAGCCGCGGUAAUACGUAGGGUGCAAGCGUUAAUCGGAAUUACUGGGCGUAAAGCGUGCGCAGGCGGUUUUGUAAGUCUGUUGUGAAAUCCCCGGGCUCAACCUGGGAAUGGCAAUGGAGACUGCAAGGCUAGAGUUUGGCAGAGGGGGGUAGAAUUCCACGUGUAGCAGUGAAAUGCGUAGAUAUGUGGAGGAACACCGAUGGCGAAGGCAGCCCCCUGGGUCAAAACUGACGCUCAUGCACGAAAGCGUGGGGAGCAAACAGGAUUAGAUACCCUGGUAGUCCACGCCCUAAACGAUGUCUACUAGUUGUCGGGUCUUAAUUGACUUGGUAACGCAGCUAACGCGUGAAGUAGACCGCCUGGGGAGUACGGUCGCAAGAUUAAAACUCAAAGGAAUUGACGGGGACCCGCACAAGCGGUGGAUGAUGUGGAUUAAUUCGAUGCAGCGCGAAAAACCUUACCUACCCUUGACAUGUACGGAACGCCGAAGAGAUUUGGUGGUGCUCGAAAGAGAGCCGUAACACAGGUGCUGCAUGGCUGUCGUCAGCUCGUGUCGUGAGAUGUUGGGUUAAGUCCCGCAACGAGCGCAACCCUUGUCAUUAGUUGCUACGAAAGAGCACUCUAAUGAGACUGCCGGUGACAAACCGGAGGAAGGUGGGGAUGACGUCAAGUCCUCAUGGCCCUUAUGGGUAGGGCUUCACACGUCAUACAAUGGUACAUACAGAGGGCCGCCAACCCGCGAGGGGGAGCUAAUCCCAGGAAGUGUAUCGUAGUCCGGAUUGUAGUCUGCAACUCGACUGCAUGAAGUUGGAAUCGCUAGUAAUCGCGGAUCAGCAUGUCGCGGUGAAUACGUUCCCGGGUCUUGUACACACCGCCCGUCACACCAUGGGAGCGGGUUUUACCAGAAGUAGGUAGCUUAACCGUAAGGAGGGCGCUUACCACGGUAGGAUUCGUGACUGGGGUGAAGUCGUAACAAGGUAACCA